rnacentral:rRNA from 1 species
CGACCGCGACCCCAGGUCAGACGGGACUACCCGCUGAGUUUAAGCAUAUCAAUAAGCGGUGG